rnacentral:rRNA from 1 species
GGGAACUGAAACAUCUAAGUACCCCGAGGAAAAGAAAUCAACCGAGAUUCCCCCAGUAGCGGCGAGCGAACGGGGAGGAGCCCAGAGCCUGAAUCAGUGUGUGUGUUAGUGGAAGCGUCUGGAAAGGCGCGCGAUACAGGGUGACAGCCCCGUACACAAAAAUGCACAUACUGUGAGCUCGAUGAGUAGGGCGGGACACGUGGUAUCCUGUCUGAAUAUGGGGGGACCAUCCUCCAAGGCUAAAUACUCCUGACUGACCGAUAGUGAACCAGUACCGUGAGGGAAAGGCGAAAAGAACCCCGGCGAGGGGAGUGAAAAAGAACCUGAAACCGUGUACGUACAAGCAGUGGGAGCCUCUUUUAUGGGGUGACUGCGUACCUUUUGUAUAAUGGGUCAGCGACUUAUAUUCUGUAGCAAGGUUAACCGAAUAGGGGAGCCGAAGGGAAACCGAGUCUUAACUGGGCGUUAAGUUGCAGGGUAUAGACCCGAAACCCGGUGAUCUAGCCAUGGGCAGGUUGAAGGUUGGGUAACACUAACUGGAGGACCGAACCGACUAAUGUUGAAAAAUUAGCGGAUGACUUGUGGCUGGGGGUGAAAGGCCAAUCAAACCGGGAGAUAGCUGGUUCUCCCCGAAAGCUAUUUAGGUAGCGCCUCGUGAAUUCAUCUCCGGGGGUAGAGCACUGUUUCGGCAAGGGGGUCAUCCCGACUUACCAACCCGAUGCAAACUGCGAAUACCGGAGAAUGUUAUCACGGGAGACACACGGCGGGUGCUAACGUCCGUCGUGAAGAGGGAAACAACCCAGACCGCCAGCUAAGGUCCCAAAGUCAUGGUUAAGUGGGAAACGAUGUGGGAAGGCCCAGACAGCCAGGAUGUUGGCUUAGAAGCAGCCAUCAUUUAAAGAAAGCGUAAUAGCUCACUGGUCGAGUCGGCCUGCGCGGAAGAUGUAACGGGGCUAAACCAUG